GCAUGCGCAGAGGGCGGUCCCUGUGUUCCUGCCGCGCUCCGGGAUGGAGGCGUAGGCAUGAGGUGCGCAGGGCCGGCGGGCGGUUGGGUACCUGCCCGCCGCUGCGGCCGCUCCGGAGCCGGUAAUACCGCUUCCUGAGCGCAUUUGCCCCCCCGAACCGCAUAGAUCUGUGUUCCCGUGCUGCUGCAUGUUCGUGCUCCGCAGGUUCACCGCGGAACUCUUCAGAAGAGGAGGACCCUCAAGACAUGAGGGCCGGGGAUCCAGGGGGAGAGAUGGCUUUCCAGGACCUGAAGAUUUUGGGCCAGAUGAUGCUUUUGACUCUCAUGAUGAAAACUCAAGAGGAAGGGACCAUGGUGUUCGGGGGCGAGGUCGUGGUGCUCUGAGAGGUGAGGGGAACAUUCUUCCAUACCGAAAUGCAAGGAUAAGGAAGCAAAGACACUUCUUGGGCAAAUUACAGAACUGUCAUGAAUCCAAUGUCUCCUGUCCACUGCACCUCUUACUGUGCAGGAGGCCGGAAGGGUUUACUUCCUACUCCAGAUGAACUUCCACGCUUUCAAGGAGGAUGAAAACCAGAAUCCUGGGAUGGAAACAGAGAACAAGGUAAAAACUGGUGAGGUUUGCUUUAGAUAACUGUAGACUUCUACGAUAUCACCAAGAACCAAAAUAUUUUCAAGAAGCACCUCUUAUUCCUGUACCUCAUGUGUUUGUUAUCACUGUUUUACUAUGAGAAAACCAAGAUGCAGUUGUGAGAACACCAUGACUAUCACUGUUCUAACUGACUUAAGUAAAUUACUCAUAAAGUAACCUGCAAUACCACAAACCUGGAUUCCUUAACCGGGAUAACUGAAUGUGCAUUAGCUCCCAACAAGACAGGGGUCUUUUCCUAGAUCAGUCAACUGCUAGCUGCAGCGCUGUAGCUGGCUUUCUGUUUUGUCCUCCCCACCUUUGUUUUCCUCGCCUUCUUUUACCUGCUUGGUUUUGUGAAGAGCUGGAGUCUUUUUUAAGUGGUAUGAGGCAUGGAGCACCCCCACAGAUUUCAGUUCGCCUCCAGACAGAAACUUGUUUGUAUGUGUACAGUUUGUCAGAAGAGUUACGUUGGUUUUGUAUGAAUACAGAACGUAAUUUGUGCAAAAAUUAACAUAAAAUCAACACUGUGUGUGACUCUUUACUCACCUGUUACUACACAGAGGGCUGUCUUUAGGCAGACUUGUGUAUCAGAUGGAGCAACAGAACUGCCUCCUGAAACCUCAACUGUCUGAAAUACUCCUAGCUGGAUGAUUCCCAGUUUUUGGGUUUAUGAUGCACAGAGAGCUUUCAUUUUCACCUUUAGCCACAGCUGGCUACAGAUUACAAGUGGUGCUGACGUUAGCAUUCCAAAACACGGGAAACCACCGCUGCUUGCUAGUCUGCCAUCCUGAAAGAGAAAAACGUGGAACACUGCUUAGAAAAAGCUGUCAUAGACAUAGUGUGAGUUACAACCGGGACUAUCAGCAAGACAGACAUCAUGACAGAUAUUGUCAUUCUGUGCUUCACCCGGGCAAGUCAAAUAUCUUUGUUCAAAACAGCAUCUGAUAUAGAAACAGAGGAGGAAAGUUUAGCAGAUUGAUUAAUAUGGAUGCACAUGCUUUACAAUGCCUGUAGGAGGCACUGCUUAAAGAUAGCUGGUUUCAGUAGGGUCUGGUACGUUCAAAUGCUCAAGUGCAAACCUCGACAGCUGACAGCUUUUUAAGUACAGUUUUCUUUAGGAUAUAGUUUCCCAGUUUUAUGAGGAGAGGGAAAUGAUGGGGAGGAGUUAUUCCCAUUUCCCACAUUUCCUAAUAAAGCUGUUUACCACCCACGACUUUCUUUCCCCAUAAAUCAUUCAUAUCAAUCAUCCCCAGUCACCAAGUGAUCAAAAGGCUCCUUUAAUACCUAAAGCCUCAAUGAAAAUUUCACCACAGAAGUGCAUAUUCUAAAGCCAGGAAGGUUCCACAUUUAAAGUAUAGGAUAUAAUGUAUAACGAACGAUACUGCCAGGCAUCCAUCCCCCCUGCCCUGAAUUUUGUGUUUGAAUACUCAGGACAAUAUGGAGGUGUACUUCUAUAGCUGCCAAGGCUACUGCAACAACGUAGUGAAACACAGCAGCUAUUUGAUCUGAUGUCUCAGUCAGAUGUACUAAAGACUGGCUUAAGUCCUGAUGACCUAUCAUAUAGGAAGAGAUCAAAACACAGGUUAGCACUUUACUGCUCUUCUCUUGGUUCAGUCAGUCACAGACAGCAUCUUCUUUCUUAGGUGGGUAGUGUACAAAAUGGCAUUUGAAAGUUACAGUAUUUAACUGAGCAUUAGCCCAUAAAAUCCUUGUCAUGGUGCUCUACAAACAGAAUAUCUUCAAGGAAUUAACUGGGAAACAGCUGAGAUGCAUCUGAUAUAACACAGUUUGUCAUUUGAGGACUAAAGAAGGAAUUGCUUUUUAACCUGUACUUGAGGAAAGGCCUUGGUCACUUUUGGUAUACAUCAGUGAGUUAGGAUCUAUUCUGAAGUCUUGGUGAUAAAGAUCAGUAUUUUGACAGCAAAGGGCAAAGCUUGCCCUCUUUGUUCUUUUAAUGAGCCCUAUAUAUUUUUGGGGGGGCUGAAAGUUAUUUUUGUGUUAUUUUAUAGAGUACGAUUUAGAGGAUGCGAUUUCGUCCUCAAUUAAACCAUGGUCCUCUACCAACAUGAGAGUGCACCCAACAGCAAACCCAGCUGUUUCUGUCUAGACAAAAGGGAGUAUGCUUGGGUUUCCCCUGAUGUUUCCUCAACUCCUUAAACCACUAUGGUACUUGAUGUGAAGCAAAAUUCCUUACCAAGGGGCAGCUUUUUUAUUUCGGUUUUGAAAUAUUCCACAAUCACGGAAUAUGCACAAAAUGCUCAAGAAAAAUGGAAAAUUAUCUAGCUUUUGUGUAAAAUCUCAGAGAGUGACAGCAUGGCAGGAGAGACACAAGUGUCCCAGUCCGUGGUACUGCGACCACUACUGCUGGGACAUGGGUAAGAUUACUUAAUGGGAAUGUACUGCUGUACUCUUUGGGUCCAGUUCUUUUACCAGAAUGUGGACUCCUUAUCCUCUACCUGCUAGUUGACAGCUCCGCCUUCUCUAGGAUUUGUUUAGCUUGUUCCUGCUCUUAGGAAUAAAUUAGUUGUCUGUACUAUAGCUUAGAAGUUGUAAAAAGGAGAGAACCAAUUUAAUGCUAUUCGGACAGCUCGAACCUACAUUUUUAUGGGAAAAGAGCGACCAUUAGUGGAAUGUCUGUAUUGACAUUUGGCACACAAGUGGUUUUAUUAAAGUAAUCUCCGUACAUUCAGGUACCCCCAUUUAACAAUUUCUGUUUACUUCAGAGUAUCAGGUGAAUACACUAAACUCUAAGAAGUGAUAUCAGGUAAAUACUGCAUUGUUUAGCUUUAUUUUGUAUACGAGGCACAUAUACUCAGUGAGAUACUCAGGCUCCGAGCAAGUCAGGCCUGGUAUUCCCCUUUACGUGCAGUAGUGCAGCACCCAGCCCAGACUGAAGCACCAGGCUCCCAGCAGGCACUGUCAGCCUGAAUUCAGCACCUUCCUAAUGCUGCUUAGCUUCUGCACUGAAACUGAGCUGUGCUGGCUGCCACAAGCCCUAAUUACCAGCAAGUCUUAUUUCUGAAGGUCACGCUGUGACAAGUAAGCAGUUCCUGCCUCAGCUGAGAAAUCAAAAUACAUUUUUAUAUAUAGAUAUAUAAAUUAAGUACUAACAGCCCAAGUUACCCUUGUAAAGCCCAACUGUUACAGCACUGUAAGGCAGCAGCAAUACCUUCAAAGACUUAAGGCUCUUACCUAAGAUUCACACUUUCCAUCCCAUCGCUGUCAUGCACCAAGACCACCCUUAGAGUUACGGGCAGCCUUUGUGCCCCACAGCCCCAGGAGCUUGUUUCACUGACUGGAUGCUACUUUAAGGAAUGGGGUUUUAGAGAGGAAUGCAGUUCAGUGGAACCUGUUUUCAUAUUCACCACUGCUCUGACGUGGCUGAUGACUGCACCACUCAGCAACUGAACCACGUUCAGAGUGUAGGGGUCAGCACAAUAAGGAGUUAAUAGCAGUUAACUGUUUGGAACGUUGACCCUGACACUCGACCAGAUUUCACUCGGCUGUCCCCACAUUUCAACAUCAGCCAGCCCUGCAACCUCAGCUGUAAGACACUUGCUUUUCACGUCAUGGGCAUUCCAUUCCACUGGCUCCGUAAUCUCACUCACGUUUUGAAGUAGGCUGCGGCAGCCACAUGGUCCUAUACUGGAGGGAGGGAAGAGGGAUGCUGCCAGCUCCUACCCGAGCCGGAGAGAAUCCAGACCAUGGCUAUCGAGCUGCCUUUGCAGUACGGUAGAAUCGUGUGCUCAGCUGGCACCAAGCCCGGCACACCUGAGCACAGACAACGCGUUUAGAGUCACCGGUGACGCCCGCGAGUGCCAGCCGCUGUUCUUCUGGUUCAAGAACCGGCGAGGAAAGCCCAGCAGCAACGCCAAGGAGGCGAAGGUGGUGAAGGAGGUGCAGACGGCGCCAUCCUCAUCCCCGUCUCGGAGCGGCGCCUCCGUACUCCGCCGAGCGGGAGGCUCUCGGUCCCUCCGUCCGAGUCCCGCCGGGCUGCGGCGCUCACACCGGCAGCACUUUGCCCCCGCGCCGCACCGUAGCACUCAGGAGGCCGCCGACGCGGCGGAGGCCGGCGGCGCCCCCGGGCAGCGCGGCCAGGAGCGCGGCAGCGCCGG
ensembl:lncRNA